UUGAAACUCAAAGGAAUUGACGGGGGCCCGCACAAGCGGUGGAGUAUGUGGUUUAAUUCGAAGCAACGCGAAGAACCUUACCAGGGCUUGACAUCCCGAUGACCGCUGUAGAGAUACAGUUUUCCUUCGGGACAUCGGUGACAGGUGGUGCAUGGUUGUCGUCAGCUCGUGUCGUGAGAUGUUGGGUUAAGUCCCGCAACGAGCGCAACCCUUAUUGUUAGUUGCUACGCAAGAGCACUCUAGCGAGACUGCCGUUGACAAAACGGAGGAAGGUGGGGACGACGUCAAAUCAUCAUGCCCCUUAUGUCCUGGGCCACACACGUACUACAAUGGUGGUCAACAGAGGGAAGCAAAACCGCGAGGUGGAGCAAAUCCCUAAAAGCCAUCCCAGUUCGGAUCGCAGGCUGCAACCCGCCUGCGUGAAGUUGGAGUCGCUAGUAAUCGCGGAUCAGCAUGCCGCGGUGAAUACGUUCCCGGGCCUUGUACACACCGCCCGUCACACCAUGAGAGUCGGGAACACCC
rnacentral:rRNA from 1 species